rnacentral:tRNA from 1 species
GGCACUAUAGCCAAGUGGUCUACGGCGACAGAUUCGAACUGAUUGCUUACAAGUAAUCAUGAUAUCUGUUCCUCUUUGAGGGCGCAAGUUCGAAUCUUGCUGGUGUCG